rnacentral:rRNA from 1 species
GACGAACGCUGGCGGCGCGCCUAAUACAUGCAAGUCGAGCGAGAACCAGGGCUUGCCCUGGGGAGAGCGGCGAACGGGUGCGUAUCACGUGAGCAACCUGCCUCAGAGACCGGGAUAACUCGAGGAAACUCGGGCUAAUACCGGAUGCCCUCGGUGGACCGCAUGGUCCGGCGAGGAAAUGGAUUCCGCUCUGAGAUGGGCUCGCGGCCUAUCAGCUUGUCGGUGGGGUAACGGCCUACCAAGGCGACGACGGGUAGCUGGGCUGAGAGGACGAUCAGCCACACUGGGACUGAGACACGGCCCAGACUCCUACGGGAGGCAGCAGUAGGGAAUCUUGCGCAAUGGGGGAAACCCUGACGCAGCGACGCCGCGUGCGGGAUGAAGGCCUUCGGGUCGUAAACCGCUUUCAGCAGGGACGAAAUUGACGGUACCUGCAGAAGAAGGCCCGGCCAACUACGUGCCAGCCGCCGCCGUAA